rnacentral:misc_RNA from 1 species
AAAGUCGUAACAAGGUUUCCGUAGGUGAACCUGCGGAAGGAUCAUUAACAAAUUCCAAUAAUAAUAUUAACCCUGUGUGAACCGAUUACUUCAUAAGCUGUACUUUUACUGUUUGUACAGUACAGUUUAGGUUGUAAUGAGCAGGUAGUCUGUAUGUAAUGCUGUGCAUUUAGCGGCAUCAGCAUUCUUACAUGACCGUCUGCUCGCCAUAAACGCUUCAUUGUUGGCUGUUAUAAUGUAACGUGUGUAUUUCUCUUAAUUGUACAAAAUGUGGAUAGUGUUAACUUAUGUGCUUUAUCACUUCUAGUGUUUGCCAUAAAUUCUCCUUUUCGCAGUACAUUUUUAUUGAAAUCAUACAAAAAACUUAAAUUUAGACAACUUUUAACAAUGGAUCUCUUGGCUCUU